GCUGGUUGCCUGUGAACGAAUAUAAGUUCCCCCUUAAUUUAACCCCCAGAGACCUAAAUACUCUAUCGUAGAAAAUUAAGAGUAAUUUAAAGGAGGUACAGCUCCUUUAAAAAAGAAUACAAUCUAUUCAAGAGGAUAAGCACCAGCACAAACACUUGUGGGCCCUAAAGCAGCCACCAACAGAGAAUGCGUCAAAGCUCUAACGCGAAAAAAUCCAAAAAUACAUACGACUCCCUCACCCAUAACAGGCUAACCUAUAUAAAUAGGAGAAUUAAUGCUAGAAUAAGUAACUAAGGAACCUCCUUCUAAAGCACAAACUUACAUAACACAUUAUUAACAGACUAAACUAUACCACAACUUCUACAAGACUAAGUAUUUAAUAACACUGUUAAACCAACUCAGGAGUGCUAAAAUAGAAAGAUUCAAACCUGUAAAAGGAACUAGGCAAACUCAAGGCCCGACUGUUUACCAAAAACAUAGCCUUCAGCAAACCAAGUAUUGAAGGUGACGCCUGCCCAGUGACAAAAGUUUAACGGCCGCGGUAUCCUAACCGUGCAAAGGUAGCGCAAUCAAUUGUCCCAUAAAUCGAGACUUGUAUGAAUGGCCAAACGAGGUCUUAACUGUCUCUUACAGGUAAUCAGUGAAAUUGAUUUCCCCGUGCAAAAGCAGGGAUAAACCCAUAAGACGAGAAGACCCUGUGGAACUUAAAAACCAGCAGCCACUCCCAAACCUAAUAAAAGCCUACUUAGGAUUACUGGUAAAACAACUGGACUGCAUUUUUUCGGUUGGGGCGACCUUGGAGAACAGUAUAUCCUCCAAAAAUAAGACCACCCCUCUUUACCAAGAACAACCACUCUAAGUACUAAUAGUAACCAGACCCAGCAUAGCUGAUCAAUGGACCAAGCUACCC
rnacentral:rRNA from 1 species